rnacentral:misc_RNA from 1 species
CGGAUGGGGAGCUCAAAGAUGAGAUGUUUGCUAUUAGAUUUGGAUCUGUUGAGAAUUGUAAGAAAUUCAGGGAGAUGGUGGAGGAGAUAGCGGAGUCACUUGGGAAAAAGGAAGAGAAACAAAGCGAGGAAGCCUCUUCUGCUGCUGGUCUGUUGGAGAAAUUGAGUGUCAGUGAAGGAAAAACUGAGGACUCUGCUGUUGCUGAGAAGGAAGAGGAAAAAACAGAGACAAAAACAGCAGAGGAGGAACCUGGUUCCGCUGACAAGGCCUAAUCUAGUUGGUUUGGAGGGCUCAACCUUCCGCAGGGCCUACAUAGAUCCAAAUAUUCAAGGUGUGAAGGUUUGUUUAGAGAUGUACUGGGUCCAGAGUCUUGGUAAGUCGGACUUGAGGCGAGGGUUUGUGUCGAGAGUCCUGAGUCAUGGUAAUGGGAUUUGAUGCUAGGGUUUGUGUAAAAGGUACUGGGUCAGAGUCUUGGUUAUGGACUAGUCUUUCAUCGACCUUGCAAUCCUGCAAUGUCCAUUGCUGGAGGGCUUGGCCAAUGGUUGUGGUAUUGGACCCAUUUUUUUUUUCUUCAGAAUUUGAGUUGGUCUCGGAUGGUCUGUCGGUUUUGUAGUGAUAUAUGCUUGAGUCUUAAUACUUUGGUUCGACUGUGG